rnacentral:rRNA from 1 species
AGUGAACGCUGGCGGUAGGCCUAACACAUGCAAGUCGAACGGCAGCACAGUAAGAGCUUGCUCUUACGGGUGGCGAGUGGCGGACGGGUGAGGAAUACAUCGGAAUCUACUUUUUCGUGGGGGAUAACGUAGGGAAACUUACGCUAAUACCGCAUACGACCUACGGGUGAAAGCAGGGGAUCUUCGGACCUUGCGCGAUUGAAUGAGCCGAUGUCGGAUUAGCUAGUUGGCGGGGUAAAGGCCCACCAAGGCGACGAUCCGUAGCUGGUCUGAGAGGAUGAUCGGCCACACUGGAACUGAGACACGGUCCAGACUCCUACGGGAGGCAGCAGUGGGGAAUAUUGGACAAUGGGCGCAAGCCUGAUCCAGCCAUACCGCGUGGGCGAAGAAGGCCUUCGGGUUGUAAAGCCCUUUUGUUGGGAAAGAAAAGCAGCAGGUUAAUACCCCGCUGUUCUGACGGUACCCAAAGAAUAAGCACCGGCUAACUUCGUG